GUUUUACAGGGAGCACCAAUUCACAGAAAAUAACAUUUGGGAAUGCACAUAAAUGACAAAAAUAAAGCUUUGAGACCUAGUCUUUGCCUCUGAAUCUGGCCACAGACAGAGUACAAAUGAAUGCAGUUCACCAAAGAAACAAUUAAGACUGAAAGUAUUCACCAAGUUUGCAUUUCUGCCAUUGACCAAGAAAGAGAGCCUGAGAUGAAGCGCCCCAGAAACAAUGAGUGAAGGAAGAAAGUGGAGUGCUGCAAAAUGUUUUCAAGGU